rnacentral:piRNA from 1 species
AAAGUUUGACUUGGGUGCCU